AGUGAACGCUGGCGGUAGGCCUAACACAUGCAAGUCGAACGGCAGCACAGGAGAGCUUGCUCUCUGGGUGGCGAGUGGCGGACGGGUGAGGAAUACAUCGGAAUCUACUCUGUCGUGGGGGAUAACGUAGGGAGACUUACGCUAAUACCGCAUACGACCUACGGGUGAAAGCAGGGGACCUUCGGGCCUUGCGCGAUUGAAUGAGCCGAUGUCGGAUUAGCUAGUUGGCGGGGUAAAGGCCCACCAAGGCGACGAUCCGUAGCUGGGCUGAGAGGAUGAUCAGCCACACUGGAACUGAGACACGGUCCAGACUCCUACGGGAGGCAGCAGUGGGGAAUAUUGGACAAUGGGCGCAAGCCUGAUCCAGCCAUACCGCGUGGGUGAAGAAGGCCUUCGGGUUGUAAAGCCCUUUUGUUGGGAAAGGAAUCCAGCUGGCUAAUACCCGGUUGGGAUGACGGUACCCAAAGAAUAAGCACCGGCUAACUUCGUGCCAGCCGCCGCGGUAA
rnacentral:rRNA from 1 species